rnacentral:rRNA from 1 species
AACGAACGCUGGCGGCAUGCCUAACACAUGCAAGUCGAACGGGACCUUCGUGUCUAGUGGGGCAGGGGUGGGUGACACCGGGGAACCUGCCUGUAGGUUCGGUAUCACUCAGAGAAGUUUAAGCUAAGACAGGUUGAUGUCUUCGCGCCAAGGAGUUAUCGCCGUUAGAUGGGGCCGGGUUGGAUUAGCUGGUUGGUGGGGUAAAGGCCUACCAAGGCGACGAUCCAUGGCUGGUCUGAGAGGAUGAUCAGUCAGAAUGGGACUGCGACCCGGCCCAGACUGCUACGGGAGGCAGGAGUGGGGAAUAUUGGACAAUGGGCGAAAGCCUGAUCCAGCAAUGCCGCGUGAGUGAUGAAGGCCUUAGGGUUGUAAAGCUCUUUUACCCGAGAUGAUAAUGACAGUAUCGGGAGAAUAAGCUCCGGCUAACUCCGUG